UGUUCUUCUAGUUUGGGUCUGUCUUCCUUAAGUUGUCUCUCAGUUAACAGGAAAACCCUGUGUGCUGCUGUGUGAGAAAGAAAUACCUCAGGUUGGGGGUGUCUCACUGGUCUACCCAGUAUGGAGACGCCUCCCUUCAGGUACCUCCCUUCCUGGGAGGGGACCUGCAGAGCUCGGCACCGCAGGUGUCUGAUUACCUCUGCUCACAUCCGUAAAAUGGCUGCCGCGUAAACACAGAGGAGGAGUCAGGCUGUGGUCAGGUGGAAACCUGCAGAGGUCCAUUAACCCAGCAUUGCGGGGCCCUCACCGUGCACUCCAGCUUGGGACAGUAGGGUGUGUCCCCGAUGAUGUCAUCCUCGGGCGGUGUGAUGCGUAGGAAGUCGAGGUGAUCAGGGCGUGGAACGCAGGAAAGGGGCUGUGGAUCAUCACCAUCCAGCAUCCAAAUGUCAUCCUGACGCAUGAGGGAAUCCUCUACAGAGACACACAAACAAACACAUGACCACAGGGUAAUUAAGGCUCUUGUAUGUGUUGCAAGGCAUGGAUAAAAACACAACAGCAUAACAGGUGUGAUCAUGUGUGACAAGCCCAAAUAAGUAGCACUGACAGAGGCAUGUUGUUUUCCUGUGUAACCUGCCCAGGUAAUAAAAGAUGGAACGGGGUAGAAAGCAGGCAUCAGAAUCUUUUAGCAUCAAACAGGCAGAGAGAGACCCCUGUUCUGCUGCAGGCUCGAGGGCGCACAGCUAUUUUUAUCUGCACUUAGCCGGUCCUGUUCUCAUCGUCAACACCAGAAAAAAGCCACACUGAUCAAAUAAAGAAAAAGGGCUGCAAAGCACUGGCCUCAAAAACAAA